GUCGUUUUUUGAUGUGGUUCUCGGUUUUUCGAUUUUCUUCAUUUAGAUUAGACUGUUGGUUUCCCUGUGUGAAUGGUUUUACCUUAAUCAUUUUGGGGCCCUUUAUAACUUGCUGUCGGUGUAAGCCAAGACUCCGUGUAAGAGGCCAUACUAUUGCAUACAAUGGUUUACUUUUACAAAUUAUGACUUGGAUGGAGAGUUGUC
rnacentral:lncRNA from 1 species